rnacentral:rRNA from 1 species
UACGGAGGAUCCAAGCGUUAUCCGGAAUUACUGGGCGUAAAGAGUUGCGUAGGUGGCAUAGUAAGUAGGUAGUGAAAGCGUUCGGCUCAACCGGAAUAAACAUUAUCUAAACUGCUAAGCUAGAGGACGAGAGAGGUUAUUGGAAUUCUAGUGUAGGAGUGAAAUCCGUAGAUAUUAGAAGGAACACCGAUGGCGUAGGCAGAUAACUGGCUCGUUUCUGACACUAAGGCACGAAAGCGUGGGUAGCAAACGGG